rnacentral:rRNA from 1 species
AGUUGGUGGAGUGAUUUGUCUGGUUAAUUCCGAUAACGAACGAGACUCUGUCCUGCUAAAUAGUUUCUGCGUCUUUUUUGCGCAGAAAAUUCUUCUUAGAGGGACUGGCGGCGUCUAGCCGCACGAGAUUGAGCAAUAACAGG